GACGAACGCUGGCGGCGUGCUUAACACAUGCAAGUCGAACGAUGAAGCCGGAGCUUGCUCUGGUGAAUUAGUGGCGAACGGGUGAGUAACACGUGAGUAACCUGCCUUUGACUCUGGGAUAACUGCGGGAAACUGUAGCUAAUACCGGAUACGACCCUCGGAGGCAUCUCCUGGGGGGGGAAAGAAUUUCGGUCAAGGAUGGACUCGCGGCCUAUCAGCUAGUUGGUGAGGUAAAGGCUCACCAAGGCGACGACGGGUAGCCGGCCUGAGAGGGUGACCGGCCACACUGGGACUGAGACACGGCCCAGACUCCUACGGGAGGCAGCAGUGGGGAAUAUUGCACAAUGGGCGCAAGCCUGAUGCAGCAACGCCGCGUGAGGGAUGACGGCCUUCGGGUUGUAAACCUCUUUUAGCAGGGAAGAAGCGAAAGUGACGGUACCUGCAGAAAAAGCACCGGCUAACUACGUGCCAGCCGCCGCAGUAA
rnacentral:rRNA from 1 species